GAUGAUAUACAAUGAAUGAACAUGAUCCAAAUGGGAGUGGGAGGCGACGAACAGCUGUGAUUGUGUUGGGAUUCCAGCAGGAAGGCUAUCCCCAGAAAGGGCUAACCAUUCUAGUGUUGAUCCAAGUCUGCAGGAUGGCUUCAACAAGUUUCUUGAUUUGGAGAGUUCACUUGCUUCAUUUCCUAUCAAACCAUUGCAAGCACUGAAGCAAUGAUUAAUUAUUUCCCUCUCAUCUUCAGUUGCUAAUGACUUCAUCAAUAUCAUUAACUGUCUUCCAGGAGUAGUUUUGACAUUGCUGAGGAUGACGAGCGUACAACUAGUCCUACUUGGAACGUUACUGCUCAAUUAUAUAUUGAGCAACAGUUUCUUACAAAGACUUACCAGGGGCCUUGGACCAAGAAACUGGAAGGAGUGAUGGUAAGAAUUCACAGAAACUAUCUCUUUACAACGUCCAUGCCAUUUCUGAGAAUAAAAUUUUUUUG